AUAUCAUCUGGUCAUCAUGCAUCUACCAUUUAGUCAUUCACCUUGAGCAUCCAGUGUCAGCCAUGAUCAAAUUUGCAUGUUAUCAUUUGAAACUAUGUAGCACAACUAAAUAAAUCUGAAGAGUAAAAGACCUACCCACCAAUUCAAACUUUUAUAUUCAUGCAACCAAGUGGUUUUAUUACAUAAUGCUUGAGGAACUGUUACUUUGUGUGGGUGGAUGCCCAGCGUAAAUAGUUAUGGUCAAUUGGUCAAUUGUAGCACAACCACAGCUCUGUGUGCAACGAAGAUGAGGGAUCCAACACUUGGUCCCAUGUGCUGUCUACGAGCACUCCCAUCCUGG